UUUCGCAAUGCCCGAAAGGGUGACUAUGCGACGCCGCGUGAGCGAUGGAGGUCUUCGGAUUGUAAAGCUCUGUCAUGUGGGAUGAAUAUCACGAGCUUAACAAGCAAGUGAGAUGACAGUACCACAGGAGGAAGCCACGGCUAACUCCGUGCCAGCAGCCGCGGUAAUACGGAGGUGGCGAGCGUUGUUCGGAAUUACUGGGCGUAAAGGGCGCGUAGGCGGAAUGGUCCGUCCGAUGUGAAAGUGCUACCGCUCAACGGAGCAAAGCCAUCGGAAACCGCCAUUCUUGAGUCCGGGAGAGGUGAGUGGAAUUGCCAGUGUAGCGGUGGAAUGUGUAGAUAUUGGCAAGAACACCGGUGGCGAAGGCGGCUCACUGGCCCGGUUCUGACGCUGAGUGCGCGAAAGCGUGGGGAGCGAACAGGAUUAGAUACCCUGGUAGUCCUAGCCGUAAACGAUGGGCACUAAGUAGAGGGGUUUUAAUCUC
rnacentral:rRNA from 1 species